rnacentral:lncRNA from 1 species
GUAAGUGACUCCUGAUCACUUUUUAAUGAGCCGUUUUAUUUCACACAGAGCAGUGAGUUUAGAACACAGAGGUAUGCAGUAGCUGCUGUUUUAUAAUGUGUUGUCUCCCUUUUUAGAGCUGGACAAAAAUACAUAACACGAUAAAUUGCCUGAAUUGAUGCGAGAACAAUACGUUUAUAACAAUAAUGUGCACCACAGUUAAAAAAAAUUAUCCUUUAAAUUACUUCUAACAGUUUGGUAGUUGUAGCCAUCAAUUGUCCUGUUAACAAUCAGUCAUAUUAGCAAACUUAUUUCAUUUCAAACUUCACAUUUCUCUAGUAUACACUACUUAUUGUAAUGAACCAUAUCAGCAAAAUGCCUGCGAUAAGGAAUCGGUAUGGUCAGUGUCGAUCAUUUCCGGUUUAUCGUCCCAGCUCUACUCCCUCUACAGGUAAACAAUCUGUAUUCAGCUUCCCCUGAGGUCGUUCAUCUGAGGAGUGCUGUGGUUCUGCUCCUACUGCUCACAAGAGAAGACCUCAAUACCUGGCCGGUAAACAAUCCCAGUGACAUGAUUCAUGUAUGCAGCAUCUCCUGGCCAGCAAUACGGUUAUCUGAGUGCUCAUCUCAGCCUUGUGUCCACUGUUCACAAUAGAAUACCUCAAGACCUAAAAAAGAUGGAGUUUAGGGAAUGUGGUCCCAGGACAGAAGCAGUGGAUGAGCCCUCCUGACCAUUCAAACUCAGGCUCUGACAUAUCAGCAGUUUGUUAGUCCCUCAUCCUUUUUGGGCCAGGAUAAGGAUCUUAGACCUUGUCCUUGGUGUGGUUUUGGACCAACUCUGUUUCUGUAAAGAAGACACCUUGUCUGCAUCAUCACAUGGC